GUAACAAUUCAAACACCCCGCUCUCAUAGGAUAUUAAUUAUUAGAAUAGCGGAGUCAUCACUCAGGCCACCAAAUUGGACUUUUGAACUGGUGAGCUGAGAGAGUGAUGACCGCGUAGAGGCGAAACUAGAGGGAGAACGUUCCGAGACGCGCUAGAGGAAGGUUGUGCUUGAGAUAGUGAGAUGUAGUUUUUAGUAAUGUGAUUGAGGAGUGGAUAUGUUUAGAGAGAGAGAGUAUAGAUGUUUGUUAUGGGAUUUUUUCAAUAGAGUGAGAUUGUUUUGGUGAAUUUGCGUAUUUAUUUAAUAAUAUUAUCCUAUAAAAGUAGCAGGGCCCAGGACCCAAAAAACCUGGUGGUGGCAGCUCUACUGGAGAGCACUGUCAUGCUCGCCACGCACGCCACAAGUGGUGACUUGGCGGUGGGAUCCGAACUCUGAAAACUUUUUAAAAGUAUUUCAACCGUGAAAGAACAGUAAAAAUUGUCUCCGAAAGAUAAUAUAAUUGGUGCCGUGAUAGUUUCAAAGUUCAUUGUUAAGUGUUACUAAAUUUUAAUUCGUUUUUGAAUGUGUGUACGUGAUUGUGUUGAACUCUUGAUUAUGUGUAUUAUGUAUUUCGUUAGUUUGUGAAGAUGAAGAGAACUUUAUUAACUACCAAAUAAUGAUCAGUAUAAAUUUAUUUCUACAUGAAUUCGGACAAAAGGUGAAAUUUCUUCAAUUCAUAGUUCAAUAUAUCAAAUCCGUGCAGUAAUAUUUUCUAAAUAACGUUGACGUCUCAAAAAUGAUGCAGCUAAAAAAAUUAUUAAAUUCAAUUUUAAAGACUGUUGAACAGUGAGUUCGAAAAUUAUUCGGAUGAAAUAUGAAACCGAGCGCGAUUGUUGAACUCUGGAAAGCGGAAGUGUCCUGAGUCAGCAGAACGCGGGCAGCGAACCAGCGAAACGUUGAGGUGGGGAUUGGCAGAGGUGUGACGUGGGCUUCCUCCAACUUUUGGGUGUUGGCGAAUACGUCACCAGGUUCAUCGCUCUUCAGGCUACACGACUCCAUAGAGACUGUCGCUGUCAUUCUACCAGCUGUUCGGCGGAUGACAACUGUAAUAACAUGGAUCUACUACUGGGGCAACGUUUGCGGCAUUCUACAAUGGAGAUGAAGACAUCAAUUAAAUUUGGAGUGCCUUUUGCGAACGGACAGAGAGGCCAGAGCAACAGAGCCACAGGCACACCACCAUCCGAGUUGAAGGAGGCGGUCACCUCGAGAAGAUAAUGCAGGAGACAACAUUCGGCAACGACACUGCCUAAGAGUCAACUCAACAGUUUCAAAAUCGCUGGGUGUUCAAAAGUGACCAAUGUGUGGUGGGGACUAUAAUGAUUAGAAAUUUAAAACUUUAUGUGGGAGAACUUUAUGGUAGCCUAAUGUGUUAAGAUGGACUCUGCUUUGCUCUGUGCCAAUAAUUUAUUGUUUGUAAAAUUAGACUAGAUUCAUCAUUCAAAUGUAUAAGUAUGAUACUCUCUCUCCUUGAAUUUUAUUAUAUAAAUUUUUAAAAUGUAAUGAAUAUGGAAAUGUAUCAACUAUAUUUAACGAUAUUGUCAAGAUUUAAAUUUUAUUUGAUUUCAACUUAGUUUAAAGAUGUGCCAGUAAUUGUAUAUGCCACAUCUUUUUCAUGCGGAGGGGUGAUGUAACAAUUCAAACACCCCGCUCUCAUAGGAUAUUAAUUAUUAGAAUAGCGGAGUCAUCACUCAGGCCACCAAAUUGGACUUUUGAACUGGUGAGCUGAGAGAGUGAUGACCGCGUAGAGGCGAAACUAGAG
rnacentral:lncRNA from 1 species